UACGAAGGGGGCUAGCGUUGCUCGGAAUCACUGGGCGUAAAGGGUGCGUAGGCGGGUCUUUAAGUCAGGGGUGAAAUCCUGGAGCUCAACUCCAGAACUGCCUUUGAUACUGAGGAUCUUGAGUACGGGAGAGGUGAGUGGAACUGCGAGUGUAGAGGUGAAAUUCGUAGAUAUUCGCAAGAACACCAGUGGCGAAGGCGGCUCACUGGCCCGUAACUGACGCUGAGGCACGAAGGCCAGGGGAGCAAACGGG
rnacentral:rRNA from 1 species